GAAGAACAAAUUUUAUCCAUUUAAGUAACCAACGAAUGAGCUCUGGAAAUUUCUACCGCGCGAAAUGGCUUCAUUUUCUUCUUCCUCUCUCUUCUUCCCGGCCACGUUCAUCUCUCAUAACCACCAUGGCUUCUUCUUCUCUUCUCCUUCCGGCAUACGCCGCCUAUCACUCUGUAAAUUGGAGAGUUUCAGUCGUUCCAUAGGUUGUUCGCGCGAGGUGUCCAACAUUCCAACGAAUGGCGUCGUGAAGUGGAAUUCCGUAUCCAUAAAGGCCGAAGGACUUCAGCAGACGGAGCCGAUGGUUCCUCCUUACAACGUUUUGAUUACCGGCUCCACUAAAGGAAUAGGAUACGCGUUGGCCAAACAGUUUCUGAAAGCAGGUGACAAUGUUGUCAUCUGUUCACGAUCAGCUGAGAGGGUUGAGUCUUCUGUUCAAAGCCUGAGGGAAGAAUUUGGGGAGCAGCGUGUGUGGGGUACUAAAUGUGACGUGCGAGAAGGAGAGGAUGUAAAGAAUUUAGUCACAUUUGUGCAGAAAAAUCUUAAAUAUAUUGACAUUUGGAUCAAUAAUGCAGGAUCAAAUGCUUAUAGCUUUAAGCCUUUGGUCGAGGCUUCAGAUGAAGAUCUCAUCGAAGUUGUCACUACAAAUGCUCUUGGUUUGAUGAUAUGUUGCCGAGAGGCAAUAAAGAUGAUGUUAAACCAACCUCGAGGGGGUCAUAUUUUCAACAUUGAUGGGGCUGGUUCUGAUGGACGACCUACCCCUAGGUUUGCUGCAUAUGGGGCAACUAAAAGAAGUGUUGUCCAUUUAACGAAGUCAUUACAGGCCGAAUUGCGGAUGCAGGACGUCAAAAACGUUGUGGUGCACAAUCUUUCGCCGGGGAUGGUCACAACUGAUCUUCUCAUGUCUGGUGCUAAUACAAAGCAGGCGAAAUUUUUCAUCAAUGUCUUAGCGGAACCGCCUGAAGUGGUCGCAGAAUACCUUGUCCCAAACAUAAGAUCUAUCCCGGCCAAUGGUUCAACAAGGCCCACAUACAUUCGUUUUCUCACUGGACUGAAAGCUUAUUCCCAGAUUUUCUCAAGACUUGCUUUUGGUGCCAGAAGAAACAGAUAUCUUCUAGAAGAUUGAUAAGAACUUCCCCCCUCAUUAUGGACCCGUUGGAGUUCUCCUAAAAGACUGCGCAAGGAAAUGAGCAUUUUCCUAUUUACCAAGGUAACCGAAUGGGAUAGCAUUUACCUCGAGAAAUUAUUCGAGGAACUCGUCAGUGUGGUGGACAAUUCUACAUCAUUGAGUACAAGAGAAAAUAAUAACAUGCAAAAUUUUCAA